UCAAACUGAAGAUGGCGACCGGCGCACGGGUGAGUAACACGUAUCCAACCUACCGAUAACUCGGGGAUAGCCUUUCGAAAGAAAGAUUAAUACCCGAUGGCAUAGUUCUUCCGCAUGGUAGAACUAUUAAAGAAUUUCGGUCAUCGAUGGGGAUGCGUUCCAUUAGGUUGUUGGCGGGGUAACGGCCCACCAAGCCUUCGAUGGAUAGGGGUUCUGAGAGGAAGGUCCCCCACAUUGGAACUGAGACACGGUCCAAACUCCUACGGGAGGCAGCAUG
rnacentral:rRNA from 1 species